GAUGAACGCUAGCGGGAGGCCUAACACAUGCAAGCCGAGCGGUAUUGUUUCUUCGGAAAUGAGAGAGCGGCGUACGGGUGCGGAACACGUGUGCAACCUGCCUUUAUCUGGGGGAUAGCCUUUCGAAAGGAAGAUUAAUACUCCAUAAUAUAUUGAACGGCAUCGUUUAAUAUUGAAAGCUCCGGCGGAUAGAGAUGGGCACGCGCAAGAUUAGCUAGUUGGUGAGGUAACGGCUCACCAAGGCGAUGAUCUUUAGGGGGCCUGAGAGGGUGAUCCCCCACACUGGUACUGAGACACGGACCAGACUCCUACGGGAGGCAGCAGUGAGGAAUAUUGGUCAAUGGGUGCAAGCCUGAACCAGCCAUCCCGCGUGAAGGACGACUGCCCUAUGGGUUGUAAACUUCUUUUGUAUAGGGAUAAACCUACCCUCGUGAGGGUAGCUGAAGGUACUAUACGAAUAAGCACCGGCUAACUCCGUGCCAGCAGCCGCGGUAAUACGGAGGGUGCAAGCGUUAUCCGGAUUUAUUGGGUUUAAAGGGUCCGUAGGCGGACUUAUAAGUCAGUGGUGAAAGCCUGUCGCUUAACGAUAGAACUGCCAUUGAUACUGUAAGUCUUGAGUAUAUUUGAGGUAGCUGGAAUAAGUAGUGUAGCGGUGAAAUGCAUAGAUAUUACUUAGAACACCAAUUGCGAAGGCAGGUUACCAAGAUAUAACUGACGCUGAGGGACGAAAGCGUGGGGAGCGAACAGGAUUAGAUACCCUGGUAGUCCACGCCGUAAACGAUGCUAACUCGUUUUUGGGCUUUAGGGUUCAGAGACCAAGCGAAAGUGAUAAGUUAGCCACCUGGGGAGUACGCUCGCAAGAGUGAAACUCAGAGGAAUUGACGGGGGCCCGCACAAGCGGUGGAUUAUGUGGUUUAAUUCGAUGAUACGCGAGGAACCUUACCAAGACUUAAAUGGGAAUUGACAGCUUUAGAAAUAGAGCUUUCUUCGGACAAUUUUCAAGGUGCUGCAUGGUUGUCGUCAGCUCGUGCCGUGAGGUGUUAGGUUAAGUCCCGCAACGAGCGCAACCCCUGUCACUAGUUGCCAUCAUUCAGUUGGGGACUCUAGUGAGACUGCCUACGCAAGUAGAGAGGAAGGUGGGGAUGACGUCAAAUCAUCACGGCCCUUACGUCUUGGGCCACACACGUAAUACAAUGGCCGGUACAGAGGGCAGCUACACAGCGAUGUGAUGCAAAUCUCGAAAGCCGGUCUCAGUUCGGAUUGGAGUCUGCAACUCGACUCUAUGAAGCUGGAAUCGCUAGUAAUCGCGCAUCAGCCAUGGCGCGGUGAAUACGUUCCCGGGCCU
rnacentral:rRNA from 1 species